rnacentral:lncRNA from 1 species
CAUCCUAAUAUUACCUGCAACUCUUUAGCAUCUUCAAUUAUCCUCCUCUGGGAGAGUCCAAACAGCCAUUUUUAGGAAGAAGAGAACAAAGUGCUUUUAGCCUCUUGUCCAUUUCAGCUUGGUGCAAUUGCAUAGAAUCCUGGUUGACAUCAUUGGGAUCUCCUACACACACCGAGAGCAAAUGCAGAGUUACUCACAGAUACCAGAGCAGCAACCUGCACCGCACUCAGCUUUCAGAAACAACUCUCCGUUCUUUCCAAAUUCAGGGCCAAGAAUUUCCAAACUCUUGAAAUGAGCUGUGAAUGGGGCAGUAAAUUAAAUAGAAACCAGGGCAAGGCAUAGCCUGAAAUGGAGCACAUUGAGCAGGGUAAAGAGGACUUUGCCAGAGUGCUGUGGUUUCAGCAAUGUUUGGG